CUCCCGCAAAGAUUGGGGGUCGGGGGACACAGGCCGGAGGGGCCAGACCCGGUGGGGACCCGUGAGCCCAGGAGAGAGGAAGCUGCUACCGCAGGCUAUGAAGGCCCAUGUCGGAGGGCCACGCUCCGUGUGAGCGAGGGUGUGUGAGUGGGCAUCUGUGGGAGUGUGUUUACGUGUGCCUGAGUUUGAUCGUGUCUAGAGAGAAGGUGUAUGUGAGUCUUCAGUGUAUGCAGUGUGUGUGUGUGUGUGUGUGAGCCUGAGUCUGGCCUCCCGCCCUGUGCCCUUGCCCUGUAUGUGUCUACAUCUUUUAAUUUCCGUUUUAGCAUGGUCACUGUGCAUGUCAUUAACUAUUCCUGAAAAACUUGAUCAUGAUGGCUGCAUAGUUAAUCCUCAUAGAGAGGUGGCAUAACUAACACGGCCAUUUCUCUAUAGUUGAGUGAGUCCAUCUUUUCUAGUUUUUUCCUAUUAUAGAUAACGCUGCAGUGAAAAUCGAUGUACAUGAUCUUUAUUUCUUUAGGAUAGAGAUCCAAACCCAAAGUGUAUACUCUUGAGUCCACUAGUAUAAAGUUUUUCAAACAUACAUCAAACUUAAAAGAAAAAGGUUAUUAUCAAUUUAAACUCUCACAGUUGUGUUUGAGUAUAUAUAUAUACACACAUAUAUACACAUACAUAACAGUUCCCUGUUGAAAACGAACCUGAGAAUCUAGAAUUGCACUUUUUUUUUUACACUACCCUCAACUCAUACCUACAGAAUUGCAGUCUUGAGACAUUUUGGACACAGAGUGUGGCCAAGGGCAUUCUUUAAACGAAGGGUCUUGAGGAUGCUAAAAUUAACCAUUGAUUUUAAAAAUCCACUUAUAAGCAAGUUUAUGCCAGGCAAACAUCUAUUUUAUUAAAUUAAUAGCACUCUUCAGCCGGGCGCGGUGGCUCAGCUCACACCUGUAAUCCCAGCACUUUGGGAGGCCGAGGCGAGCAGAUCAUGAGGUCAGAUCAAGACCAUCCUGGCUAACACGGUGAAACCCCGUCUCUACUAAAAAUACAAAAAAUUAGCCGAGUGAGGUGGUGCAUGCCUGUAAUCCCAGCUACUCGGGAAGCUGAGGCAGGAGAAUAGCUUGAACCUGGGAGGUGGAGGUUGCAGUGAACUGAGAUCACGCCACUGCAUUCCAGCCUGAGCAAGACUCUGUCUCAAAAAAAAAAAAAAUUAAUAGCACUUUUCUGAAAAACAGAAUUUUCUACGAUUGCCACAAGUGAAGCUAAGGGGCCCUGUGUAUGAACACUAUGCAGAACUCUCACUCUCUCUCCCCUGCUUUUCUUUCUUCUUCAUUUCCCUUUAUCAAAUAUUUAUUGUCUAGUUAUCAGGGACACGAGACAUGGCUUUUGUUCUCAGAAUAGUCAUAAUCCAGUGUGAGCAAUAUAGUCAACUAGAACAUCAAGUGGCUGGCUCCUGUCUCAAAAGGUAGUCAUUCUAACAGCCUGAUUUGCCUUCUCCUUAUUGGAACUUCAAUUCCCACAAAAGCCAAGUCAUAAUAUCGGUCAACAACCUGACAGAUACCAGGUAAACUCUCCACUAGCCAGAGCACAGAGGUGGCCCUGCGAACUGUUAUAAU
ensembl:lncRNA